UGCCAGUAGUCAUAUGCUUGUCUCA
rnacentral:ncRNA from 3 species